UACAGAGGUCCCAAGCGUUGUUCGGAUUUACUGGACGUAAAGGGUGCGUAGGUGGCGGGGUAAGUCUGGUGUGAAAGCUCCGAGCUCAACUCGGAAAAGCAUUGGAAACUAUCCCGCUUGAGGGUCGGAGGGGAGACUGGAAUUCUCGGUGUAGCAGUGAAAUGCGUAGAUAUCGAGAGGAACACCAGUGGCGAAGGCGAGUCUCUGGACGACUCCUGACACUGAGGCACGAAAGCUAGGGGAGCAAACAGG
rnacentral:rRNA from 1 species